GACGAACGCUGGCGGCGUGCUUAACACAUGCAAGUCGAACGGAAAGGCCCCUUUGGGGGUACUCGAGUGGCGAACGGGUGAGUAACACGUGAGUAACCUGCCCUUGACUUCGGGAUAACUUCAGGAAACUGGGGCUAAUACCGGAUAGGAAUCCUUGCUGCAUGGUGGGGGUUGGAAAGCUUCGGCGGGUUUGGAUGGACUCGCGGCUUAUCAGCUUGUUGGUGGGGUAGUGGCUUACCAAGGCUUUGACGGGUAGCCGGCCUGAGAGGGCGACCGGCCACAUUGGGACUGAGAUACGGCCCAGACUCCUACGGGAGGCAGCAGUGGGGAAUAUUGCACAAGGGGCGGCAGCCUGAUGCAGCAACGCCGCGUGCGGGAUGACGGCCUUCGGGUUGUAAACCGCUUUCAGCAGGGGCGAAGCUUGUGGUGACGGUACCUGCAGAAGAAGCACCGGCUAACUACGUG
rnacentral:rRNA from 1 species